rnacentral:rRNA from 1 species
CCUACGGUGGGCAGCAGUGAGGAAUAUUGGUCAAUGGGCGCGAGCCUGAACCAGCCAAGUCGCGUGAGGGAAGACGGUCCUAUGGAUUGUAAACCUCUUUUGUCGGGGAGCAAAAGACGCCACGCGUGGCGUUCCGAGAGUACCCGAAGAAAAAGCAUCGGCUAACUCCGUGCCAGCCGCCGCGGUACUACGGAGGAUGCGAGCGUUAUCCGGAUUGAUUGGGGUUAAAGGGUGCGCAGGCGGAAGAUAAAGUCAGCGGUAAAAUUGAGAGGCUCAACCUCUUCGAGCCGUUGAAACUGGUUUUCUUGAGUCCGCGGAAGGCAGGCGGAAUUCGUCGUGUAGCGGUGAAAUGCUUAGAUAUGACGAAGAACCCCGAUUGCGAAGGCAGCUUGCUGCAGCGGAACUGACGCUGAUGCUCGAAAGCGCGGGUAUCGAACAGGAUUAGAUACCCUGGUAGUC